rnacentral:piRNA from 1 species
CUGCAUAGUAUUCCAUGGUGUAUAUGUGC